GAGAGAGAGAGGCAGAGACACAGGCAGAGGGAGAAGCAGGCUCCGCGCAGCGAGCCCGACGCGGGACUCGAUCCCCGGUCCCCAGGUCACGCCCUGGGCAGAAGGGGGCGCUAAACCGCUGCGCCAGCCCGGCUGCCCAUGAUUGAAAUUGCCGAUGGGAAAUUUUGAAGGAUAGAAGUUAAAAACGAGUGAAUGGGUGCUCAACUUUCCAUCUUUCGGGAGUAAAUGUAAGAAGUCUGGAGGCGGCUACCACAAGGUAGGGGAGCGGCGGGGAGCGCGGAGCAGCGGGCGCGGAGGCCGGGGCGCGAGGGGCGGGGCCGGCAGGCCGGCGGGUCCCCGGGGUGCACCAUAGAGGGCGCUGGAUGACCGAGGGACAGAGAGGCGCACGCCGCCCACGCCAGUGGCUCCGGGAACCCGCGCCGGCGAGCAAGAUGGCGGCCGUUUGACUGCGAGGCGAGGCGCGGCGCCGCGGGGUGCUGCCGGGGUGGCGACGGCGGGUUGGCUUGGAGCAACGGCCGCCGCCGGGACAGGCUCCCCGCGAGAUGGGACGUGAAGGGCUCCCGCCCGCCCCGCCGAUGUUCUUCAGUCUCAAAAAACAUAGAACAGCUACAGAAAAGGUACCACUGCCAUAAAUUUUGCCUACCCCAGGAAAUCUCCAGUUCAACUCUUGAGUUGCUCCGAUGAUCCACCCACCCUGGACCCAUACCCCUGUCUCCAGGCACUGAAUUUUAAGAGGAAAUUCCUGGAGACCCUAAAACCUUCAAGACACAAAGAAUGCAAGAUAGAGAAAAAUAGUGACAGUCAGUUCUUUUGGAGUAAAAUGUCACUGCCUCAAACAUACUUCAUAGGUAUUCAUCACAUACCAAUUCUGAAAUUAGCCUGCUUGUUAUGGUGUUAUGACAGCAAACAGUAUGCAAAGGUUGGUCAACACUUGAAAACUGUACCUUCAUUGCCUCAGACCUUCCAGGGCUGUCAUUGCAAGUCAGUGCAGUGUCUGUCCAGCAUAACAAUGAUUCCCUAAAGAGGAGAGCAGCUUGGUAAGAAGAAACUAAUGACUAUUAUUUUUUUUAAAGUUUCUCUUUAGAGGCAUCUCACUGAGAUAUGCACAAAAGAGAGAUUUGGUAUGUCACUAAUGGCACGUUCCAACCUUCAGAAUGCAUAAAAUGCUCCCGCAUCUAAUUAGAUAUGGGGUCAAAGUAAAGAAUUUCCUUCCCCAAAUUGACUGUGGGAGUUUGUGUAUUUAUUUGAGUGAACUGGGUCAGUUGACAGGUCCAGUCAACUUACAGACUCACUGUGAUUUAUGCUUUGGUAGGAAGGAAGAGCAGCUUUGGAAACUCAGACCUCUUCUAU
rnacentral:lncRNA from 1 species